rnacentral:tRNA from 1 species
GUCGCGAUAGCCCAAAAGGUAGAGCAAAGGACCGAAAAUCCUCGUGUCACCAGUUC